rnacentral:rRNA from 1 species
GAUGAACGCUGGCGGCGUGCCUAAUACAUGCAAGUCGAGCGAACAGAUAAGGAGCUUGCUCCUUUGAAGUUAGCGGCGGACGGGUGAGUAACACGUGGGUAACCUACCUAUAAGACUGGAAUAACUUCGGGAAACCGGAGCUAAUGCCGGAUAACAUUUGGAACCGCAUGGUUCUAAAGUAAAAGAUGGUUUUGCUAUCACUUAUAGAUGGACCCGCGCCGUAUUAGCUAGUUGGUAAGGUAACGGCUUACCAAGGCAACGAUACGUAGCCGACCUGAGAGGGUGAUCGGCAACACUGGAACUGAGACACGGUCCAGACUCUUACGGGAGGCAGCAGUAGGGAAUCUUCCGCAAUGGUCGAAAGUCUGACGGAGCAACGCCGCGUGAGUGAUGAAGGUUUUCGGAUCGUAAAACUCUGUUAUUAGGGAAGAACAAAUGUGUAAGUAACUGUGCACAUCUUGACGGUACCUAAUCAGAAAGCCACGGCUAACUACGUGCCAGCCGCCGCGGUAA